rnacentral:rRNA from 1 species
CCUACGGGAGGCAGCAGUGGGGAAUAUUGCACAAUGGGGGAAACCCUGAUGCAGCGACGCCGCGUGAAGGAAGAAGUAUUUCGGUAUGUAAACUUCUAUCAGCAGGGACGAAAAUGACGGUACCUGACUAAGAAGCCCCGGCUAACUACGUGCCAGCAGCCGCGGUAAUACGUAGGGGGCAAGCGGUAGCCGGAUUUACUGGGCGUAAAGAGUACGUAGGCGGUUCUUUAAGCUCAGGGUUUAAGGGGAUAGCUUAACUAUAGUUCGCCCUGUGAAUUGGGGGACUUGAGUAUCGGAGAGGAAAGCGGAAUUCCUAGGGGAGCGGUGAAAUGCGUAGAUAUUAGGAGGAACACCAGUGGCGAAGGCGGCUUUCUGGACGAAAACUGACGCUGAGGUACGAAAGCGUGGGGAGCAAACAGGAUUAGAUACCCGUGUAGUC